rnacentral:piRNA from 1 species
CUAGAUGUUUAUAUGCCUGCUC